rnacentral:rRNA from 1 species
AACGAACGCUGGCGGCAUGCCUAACACAUGCAAGUCGAACGAGACCUUCGGGUCUAGUGGCGCACGGGUGCGUAACGCGUGGGAACCUGCCCUUAGGUUCGGAAUAACUCCCCGAAAGGGGUGCUAAUACCGGAUAAUUUCUUCGGACCAAAGAUUUAUCGCCUUUGGAUGGGCCCGCGUUGGAUUAGCUAGUUGGUAGGGUAAAAGCCUACCAAGGCGACGAUCCAUAGCUGGUCUGAGAGGAUGAUCAGCCACACUGGGACUGAGACACGGCCCAGACUCCUACGGGAGGCAGCAGUGGGGAAUAUUGGACAAUGGGCGAAAGCCUGAUCCAGCAAUGCCGAGUGAGUGAUGAAGGCGUUAGGGUUGUAAAGCGCUUUUACCCGGGAUGAUAAUGACAGUACCGGGAGAAUAAGCUCCGGCUAACUCCGUG